CCUACGGGAGGCAGCAGUAAGGAAUAUUGGUCAAUGGACGCAAGUCUGAACCAGCCAUGCCGCGUGAAGGAUGAAGGUCCUCUGGAUUGUAAACUUCUUUUAUAUGGGACGAAACCCGGGAAUUCUUUCCCGAUUGACGGUACCAUAAGAAUAAGCACCGGCUAACUCCGUGCCAGCAGCCGCGGUAAU
rnacentral:rRNA from 1 species